rnacentral:siRNA from 1 species
GUUUUAAGCAAAACGUCACCGUUC